GGUUGUGACUCAGCGGUAGAGUGCUCGCUUGGCACGUGGGAGGUGCUGGGUUCGAUCCUCAGCACCA
rnacentral:tRNA from 1 species